GGGGUUGCGGCUCAGUGGUAGAGUGCUUGCCUUGCAAGCAUAAAGCCAUGGGUUCAAUCCCAGCACCA
rnacentral:tRNA from 1 species